AUGCCGCGUGUAUGAAGAAGGCCUUCGGGUUGUAAAGUACUUUCAGCGAGGAGGAAGGCGUUGUGGUUAAUAACCUUAAUGAUUGACGUUACUCGCAGAAGAAGCACCGGCUAACUCCGUGCCAGCAGCCGCGGUAAUACGGAGGGUGCAAGCGUUAAUCGGAAUUACUGGGCGUAAAGCGCACGCAGGCGGUCUGUCAAGUCGGAUGUGAAAUCCCCGGGCUCAACCUGGGAACUGCAUCCGAAACUGGCAGGCUAGAGUCUUGUAGAGGGGGGUAGAAUUCCAGGUGUAGCGGUGAAAUGCGUAGAGAUCUGGAGGAAUACCGGUGGCGAAGGCGGCCCCCUGGACAAAGACUGACGCUCAGGUGCGAAAGCGUGGGGAGCAAACAGGAUUAGAUACCCCGGUA
rnacentral:rRNA from 1 species